AAGGGUCUUUCGGGUUGCUCGGAAUAAAAACACAGACAUACAACAGAUUUAGAGGACUCCCGGAAAUUUUUUUUUAGACAGAGUUUGAUCAGGCUCAGAUUGAACGCUGGCGGCAGGCCUAACACAUGCAAGUCGAGCGGUAGAGAGAAGCUUGCUUCUCUUGAGAGCGGCGGACGGGUGAGUAAUGCCUAGGAAUCUGCCUGGUAGUGGGGGAUAACGUUCGGAAACGGACGCUAAUACCGCAUACGUCCUACGGGAGAAAGCAGGGGACCUUCGGGCCUUGCGCUAUCAGAUGAGCCUAGGUCGGAUUAGCUAGUUGGUGAGGUAAUGGCUCACCAAGGCGACGAUCCGUAACUGGUCUGAGAGGAUGAUCAGUCACACUGGAACUGAGACACGGUCCAGACUCCUACGGGAGGCAGCAGUGGGGAAUAUUGGACAAUGGGCGAAAGCCUGAUCCAGCCAUGCCGCGUGUGUGAAGAAGGUCUUCGGAUUGUAAAGCACUUUAAGUUGGGAGGAAGGGUUGUAGAUUAAUACUCUGCAAUUUUGACGUUACCGACAGAAUAAGCACCGGCUAACUCUGUGCCAGCAGCCGCGGUAAUACAGAGGGUGCAAGCGUUAAUCGGAAUUACUGGGCGUAAAGCGCGCGUAGGUGGUUCGUUAAGUUGGAUGUGAAAGCCCCGGGCUCAACCUGGGAACUGCAUUCAAAACUGACGAGCUAGAGUAUGGUAGAGGGUGGUGGAAUUUCCUGUGUAGCGGUGAAAUGCGUAGAUAUAGGAAGGAACACCAGUGGCGAAGGCGACCACCUGGACUGAUACUGACACUGAGGUGCGAAAGCGUGGGGAGCAAACAGGAUUAGAUACCCUGGUAGUCCACGCCGUAAACGAUGUCAACUAGCCGUUGGAAUCCUUGAGAUUUUAGUGGCGCAGCUAACGCAUGAAGUGACCGCUUGGGGACCCA
rnacentral:rRNA from 1 species